rnacentral:rRNA from 1 species
AACGAACGCUGGCGGCGCGCUUAACACAUGCAAGUCGAACGAGAAGCCGGAGCAAUCCGGUUGUAAAGUGGCAAACGGGUGAGUAAUGCGUGGGUAAUCUACCCUCGGGUGGGGAAUAACUCUUCGAAAGGAGAGCUAAUGCCGACAUGUGCAGCACUUUCGCAAGGAGGUGUUGGAAAGCCGUACCGUGGGUGCGGCGCCCAAGGAUGAGCUCACGUCCUAUCAGCUUGUUGGCGGGGUAACGGCCCACCAAGGCUGCGACGGGUAGCUGGUCUGAGAGGACGACCAGCCACACUGGCACUGCGACACGGGCCAGACUCCUACGGGAGGCAGCAGUGAGGAAUAUUGCGCAAUGGACGAAAGUCUGACGCAGCGACGCCGCGUGGGGGAUGAAGGCCUCGGUU